CAAUUUUUAGAGAACUGGUUUAAGAGCAGUAGCCAAAUGGCCAAAACUCACUCGAUCUGCCCUUUAAUUACAGAUUGGUGAGAUUUAUGAAACAAAUUCUCUUCUUCCUAGUGUUCAAGACUCUCACGAAGACAGAGACACUACAGUUGCCACACUAUAUUUGGGACUAUGGUAUACAAUUGUGAUGAAAACCAAAAGUAAAUUCUAACUACAGACAGUUACCAAAUUUCAUGCGGAUAUAUUCAUAUGGAUCUUCUUGCCACAGCUCUUCGUCCUCAUCUUUGUAGCACAUUAGGGAGAAUAUCACUUCUUCUGUUAUACUCUGUAUGUGCGGCUUCAUUUGCUUCCACGUUACAGAGUGAAUGACACCUUGGUUCAGGUAAUUCAACGUUUGCUGAAGAACACGCGGUGCAACAUAGUCCUUUUGUCUGUAUUGGUCUAAGAUUCUUAAUAGAACUUGUUGUAUGCCCACAGCAUACGUUUUUAAAAAAAACUCUGAGAAUUCAAAGUAUUCUUUAGUUACAUUUCCCGGG
rnacentral:lncRNA from 1 species